rnacentral:antisense_RNA from 1 species
UGGUCACAGUGUUCUUCGGUGAGCGUCAGGCACACCAGGCCGCGCGCGUGCGUGACCAUGAAGUUGAUCGCUUCCGGUGUGACGUAAUCGGCUGCCAGGAUCA